rnacentral:rRNA from 1 species
UUUCGAAUCAUUCACAAUGGGCGAAAGCCUGAUGGUGCGACGCCGCGUGAGGGAUGAAGGCCUUCGGGUUGUAAACCUCUGUCACCGGGGAAGAAACGCUUCAAGUUAACAGCUUGAAGCCUGACUUAACCCGGAGAGGAAGCAGUGGCUAACUCUGUGCCAGCAGCCGCGGUAAUACAGAGACUGCAAGCGUUAUUCGGAUUCACUGGGCGUAAAGGGUGCGCAGGCGGCCGGGUGUGUCAGAUGUGAAAUCCCGAGGCUUAACCUCGGAACUGCGUCUGAAACUACUCGGCUAGAGUAUUGGAGAGGGUAACGGAAUUCACGGUGCAGCAGUGAAAUGCGUAGAUAUCGUGAGGAACACCAGAGGCGAAGGCGGUUACCUGGACAAUUACUGACGCUCAGGCACGAAAGCAUGGGGAGCAAAAGGGAUUAGAUACCCUGGUAGUCCCUGAGCGGGCUGGCAAGGCGCAU